ensembl:lncRNA
GUCUUUUCUCAGGUUUGGAGGCCGGAAGCCCCAGGUCAGUGUAGGCAGGGCCUCUCUCCCAGCCCUGGUGGCUCCUGUGGUCCUCGGAGGUCCCGCGGGUGCCUCUCUCCCCAGGUAUCUCUCCUCCACAGCUUUCACACUCUCCAAAUCCAGGAUGAUAUCAUCAAGAUCUGACCUUGACCACGGCUGCAGAGACCCUUUCCUCAGAUAAAGGCACACUCCUCAUGGGCACUGGGGCUAUUUAGGACCUCGACAUGACUGAAGCAACUUAGCAGCAGCAGCAGCAGCAGCAUGGUUUUAGGGGAACAACAGAGCCCCUUAUACCUUCCCCUGGGCCAGAUGCUCAGGUUGAGAAAGACCCCGCUUUCCUACAGGGCACUCGGACCUCAGAAAUUCCAGUCCCUCCUGCCUGGGCCCCACAAGUGAGGGGAAGUGGUACCUGUGCCUGGCAACAGCCCCUGGGGAGAAGCUGCCUGGAGACUGGGGAGGUGGCCCCAGCAGUGGCCUUGCCUUUGUGUGGCUGGGAUUCCCACACAGGAUCUUUAUGUCAUCACUGCCUGGCUGGCUGGUGGGGUCCAGCGUGCAGGGCCAGGCUGUCAACCUGAGGUGCCGUGCAUUCCGGCCCCAUGUCCUCGAAGGCCGCCCACUUGGAGAAUGGGAGUUCCCUCUGCACCUGGCUUUGACCUGAUGGCAAACCAGAUAAGACCUGAAGAAUUACCCAGACACACGCCAUGAUAAGGCCGGUGGUGCAAGAGGCCUCACGUGUGCUGUGCUGCGGGGCCGGCGCUGCAGACAGGCCACUGGAGGCCCUGCGGCGCUGGCUCCCGCCCAGCUCUCCUGUCCCACAUUUGAAGGGCCAUGCAGCCUUGGGGCAGAGGACCUGGUCACUGCAUGCAGCUCCAGGGUCACGACCCCAGGCCAGAGCCCUAGGUGGCUCCUCCUGACACCCCCACAGUGAAGUUCUGGGAGGUGAGUUGUCUGCCAGGACUCACGGGACUUGCUUUAAAGGUAGUCUUCCGAGGGCAAAGGCCCUGAUACAGGUCUGGGCAAGGGCACUCCCAGGCCCCUGGCACCACUCUGCAAAGUCAACCCACAAGGGAGGGUCUCCCUCCAGUGGUCCUGGUCCCCUGGGAGGGGAGCAGGGGCUGAGCAGGGCGUGGUGCCGUUCCUGCCCUGCAUUGGGACGGUAGCAUGGCCCGGCUGGGACGUCUCACGCACAAGACACCUGCACGUCCGCGCGGGGUCCAACCUCGUGUGAGGCACUCGGUGGAGAACUGGCUUGUAGGCUGGAGUAAUCUCUGGUCCAGGGCCCACCGGGAAGGUGGCCUCUGAUCCAGGCAGAGAUGGCGGCCCUCAGAAAGCCCUGCCAGGCCAGCCACUGCAAGGAAACCAGGUGAGCAUGCUGCGGGGCCAGACUAGCAGCUCCAGGGGCGUAUCAGCAGCCUCCUUCAGCCAGCGAUGCUCAGUGGGCAUCACCAAGGGGAGGAUGCAGUGGGGCUAGGCACAG